AUCUAGCAGGAAGACGAGUCCCAAAUAGGACGAAAUGCGCAUCCUGGAU
rnacentral:hammerhead_ribozyme from 1 species